rnacentral:rRNA from 1 species
UACAGAGGUCUCAAGCGUUGUUCGGAUUCAUUGGGCGUAAAGGGUGCGUAGGUGGCAAAGUAAGUUGGAUGUGAAAUCCUGGGGCUUAACCUCAGAAUUGCAUUCAAUACUGCUUAGCUAGAGAGCUGUAGAGGAGACUGGAAUUUACGGUGUAGCAGUGAAAUGCGUAGAUAUCGUAAGGAACGCCAGUGGCGAAAGCGAGUAUCUGGGCAGCAUCUGACACUGAGGCACGAAGGCCAGGGGAGCAAACGGG